AACGAACGCUGGCGGCAUGCCUAACACAUGCAAGUCGAACGAGACCUUCGGGUCUAGUGGCGCACGGGUGCGUAACGCGUGGGAACCUGCCCUUAGGUUCGGAAUAACUCCCCGAAAGGGGUGCUAAUACCGGAUAAUGUCUUCGGACCAAAGAUUUAUCGCCUUUGGAUGGGCCCGCGUUGGAUUAGCUAGUUGGUAGGGUAAAAGCCUACCAAGGCGACGAUCCAUAGCUGGUCUGAGAGGAUGAUCAGCCACACUGGGACUGAGACACGGCCCAGACCCCGCGGGGGAGCGGCGGGGGGGAUUAUUGAAAAUGGGGCGAACGCUGAACCAACCAUGGCCGCGGGAUGAUUGAGGCCUUGAGGGUGGAAAACUUUUUUCCCCGGGGAGUAUAAUGACAGCCCGGGAAAAAAAAGCCCCGGCUACCCCCGUC
rnacentral:rRNA from 1 species